rnacentral:rRNA from 1 species
GUCUUAAACCUAGCCCAAUCUCCUCCCUAUGAAUUAAUUUUCUAUUUUUUUACCUAAUAAAACAUUUUCCCAUUCUAGUAGAGGCGAUCGAAAAAUUAUUUGGAGCUUUAGAUACAGUACCGCAAGGGAAAGGUGAAAUAAUAAUGAAAUAAUAUUUAAACAAAACAAAGCAAAGAUUAAAUCUUGUACCUUUUGCAUCAUGGUCUAGCCAGUCAAACCAAGCAAAAAGAAUAUAAAGUUUGACCCCCCGAAACUAAGUGAGCUACUUCAAAACAGCCUUAUGGGCAAACCCAUCUCUGUUGCAAAAGCGUGGGAAGAUUUUCAAGUAGAGGCGAUAAACCUACCGAACUUAGAGAUAGCUGGUUAUUCAGGAAAAGGAUUUUAGUCCUACUUUAAGUUUUUAAUAACAAUAAAUAUUUCUACAAACUUAAAAGCUAUUCAAAUAAGGUUCAGCUUAUUUGAAAAAGGAUUCAACCUAAAAAACAGGGUAAUGUUUUUAUCUAUGUGACUAAGUGGGCCUAAAAGCAGCCAUCUUUAUAAAAGCGUUAAAGCUUUCUCAUAAGUUAAACCAAUUUCUACAACUUUACAAAACCCUUACUUCAUACUGAAUGAUUCUAUAAAAUUAUAGAAAACCUUAUGCUAGAACUAGUAACAAGAAGAAGACCUUCUCCAUAAAUGUAAACAUAACCCGGAAUGAACAAAUCACCGGAACUUAUCGCCAAUGAAAAAAUUAUAGCAACUUUUCAAGAAAAAACUAUUUUAUCAAGCGUUAACCUUACACAAGAACAUUUCAGGAAAGAUUUAAAGAAGAGGAAGGAACUCGGCAAACAAUUAACCCCGCCUGUUUACCAAAAACAUCGCCUUGUGGUAAAAUAUACAAGGUCUAGCCUGCCCAGUGAGUUAUUUUAACGGCCGCGGUACCCUAACCGUGCAAAGGUAGCGCAAUCACUUGUUCUUUAAAUAGGGACUAGUAUGAACGGCAUCACGAGGGUUAUUCUGUCUCCCCCUUUUAAUCAGUGAAACUGAUCUCCCCGUGAAGAAGCGAGGAUAUUAUUAUAAGACGAGAAGACCCCAUGGAGCUUUAAACUCAGAAACACCAGCUACUUCUUAGACCAAAUUAAUUGGCUUCCAUGAUUUCUAGUUUUCGGUUGGGGUGACCAUGGAGUACAACACAACCUCCUUGAUGUAACGGAACUAUUUUCCUUAUUUAAGAACUACAGUUCUAAAAAUCAACAUAUUGACAAAAAUUGAUCCAAAUUUCUUUGAUCAACGAACCAAGUUACCCUGGGGAUAACAGCGCAAUCCAUUUCAAGAGCUCAUAUCGACAAAUGGGUUUACGACCUCGAUGUUGGAUCAGGGUACCCCAGUGGUGCAGCCGCUACUAAAGGUUCGUUUGUUCAACGAUUAAAACCCUACGUGAUCUGAGUUCAGACCGGAGUAAUCCAGGUCGGUUUCUAUCUAUAAAGAGCUUUUUCCAGUACGAAAGGACCGAAAAAACAUGGUCAAUGCAAAAGUAAACCAUAACUGAAAAUUAGUGACUUCAACUUAAUUUACUUCAGUCUUCGUAAAAUUUUUAGAUAAAAAAC